GUAACUGCGAGUGAAGCGGGAAAAGCUCAAAUUUAAAAUCUCGGUAUGCUUCUGGCUGCCCGAGUUGUAAUCUAGAGAAGUAAUGCCCGCGCUGGACCAUGUACAAGUCUCCUGGGAUGGAGCGUCAUAGAGGGUGAGAAUCCCGUCUCUGACAUGGACUUCCAGGGCUUUGUGGUAUGCUCUCAAAGAGUCGAGUUGUUUGGGAAUGCAGCUCAAAAUGGGUGGUAAAUUCCAUCUAAAGCUAAAUAUUGGCGAGAGACCGAUAGCGAACAAGUACCGUGAGGGAAAGAUGAAAAGAACUUUGGAAAGAGAGUUAAACAGUACGUGAAAUUGCUGAAAGGGAAACGCUUGAAGUCAGUCACAUCAUCUGGGAAUCAGCCUUGCUUCUUUGUGAGGUGUACUUGCUAGUUGAUGGGUCAGCAUCAAUUUUGACCACUGGAAAAAGACUUGAGGAAUGUGGCAGCUCCGGCUGUGUUAUAGCUUCUUGUCACAUACAGUGGUUGGGAUUGAGGAACUCAGCAUGCCACAUGGCCGGGUUUCGACCACGUUCAUGCUUAGGAUGCUGGCAUAAUGGCUUUAAGCGACCCGUCUUGAAACACGGACCAAGGAGUCUAACAUGCCUGCGAGUGUUUGGGUGCUAAACCCCAGACGCACAAUGAAAGUGAAAGUUGAGAUCCCU
rnacentral:rRNA from 1 species